rnacentral:rRNA from 1 species
CAGCCGCCGCGGUAAUACAGAGGGUGCGAGCGUUAAUCGGAUUUACUGGGCGUAAAGCGUGCGUAGGCGGCUUCUUAAGUCGGAUGUGAAAUCCCUGAGCUUAACUUAGGAAUUGCAUUCGAUACUGGGAAGCUAAAGUAUGGGAGAGGAUGGUAGAAUUCCAGGUGUAGCGGUGAAAUGCGUAGAGAUCUGGAGGAAUACCGAUGGCGAAGGCAGCCAUCUGGCCUAAUACUGACGCUGAGGUACGAAAGCAUGGGGAGCAAACAGGAUUAGAUACCCCGGUAGUCCCUGUCUCUUAUAC